CUGUGCGGAUCUGCAGUGCUGGGGACCACUUAUCUACGAAGGCAACAGGCCCAGAAUGACCAAGCAUGAAAAAUACAGCCACAGAACUGCUGCAUUUCCCUCCUACAGAGUUCUGUGGUCUUUUUAUUAUAUAAGUGCAAUUUUCAGGUUGGGAGCUUAAGAAGAAGGCGAGGGACUUCCCUGGUGGCACAGUGGUUAAGAAUUGCCUGCCAAUGCAGGGGACAUGGGUUCGAGCCCUGGUCUGGGAAGAUCCACAUGCCGCGGGGCAACUAAGCCCGUAUGCCACAACUACUGAGCCUGCGCUCUAGAGCCCGUGAGCCACAACUACUGAGCCCGCACACCAAGAGCCCAUGCUCCACAACAAGAGAAGCCACCACAAUGAGAACCUGCACACUGCAAUGAAGAGAAGUGCCCACUCACCACUACUAGAGGAAGCCGGGGUGCAGCAAUGGAGACCCAACGCAACCAAAAAUAAAUAAAUAAAUAAAUAUU